CAGUACCUAGAAAUAUUUGUAUUGAACUUUCUGUGUUUGUGUAUUUAUGCAGAAGAAUUAAAAAAAAAAACAUCAGAGUGCCACACUAAUCUGACAAAUAAGGCACUAAUAAGGUAAUUUGGCAGUGAUUAUGUAGUUUUCUUUAGCAUUAUCCAAAAUUCGUAUGUAUUUAUCAUGCUUAAAAAUUUAGGUUGUGAACAAUGACAAUUUUGUUUUCGGUUUUGUAAAUAUGUCUGCACUUAGUUUAGAAUUAAACCUUUGUAUGCAGUUUAAUUGUUAAUUUUCUUUCCUAUGAUGAGUAUUUUGGUUUGUUAUAAAUACUUUUUCCGACAAUAGUUCAUGCAUGUCAUUUCAAAAAUAUAUCUUCUAUCAACAUAAUCAUAAGUAUAUGUUUAUCAUGCUUAGUAUUUAGAACAUUAAGAUUUGUUGAAAAUUCCAUUAUAUACUCAACAACUUUAUUAAUAUGCUUGGUAAAGAGAGGCAGUUCCGAAGAACGGUUGAAGUUAUGGGUAUUCCAGGACUUGCUAUGAAGAAUGUACGUUGUAGUUUACAAUUAGUCGUUCAUAUUUCCUCUCAUGGUUCCAUUUCAUAAUCACGAUAGUCGAUACAUAUGUUGUAUUAGAUAUAGCAAUAGAAACAAGUUGGUUAGAAGAAAUGAAAGAGCAUGACAUAGAACAAGAUAUCCACCCGGCCGGAAUAUCUUAUGGUAGAAAUAUGUAUGUUUAUUUAUUUAGAUUUAUUUUACAUUACAUUUAAAUUUCACAGCUCAUAAUAGUUGCUAACGGUGUUGGUUUUUUUGAACACAUGCAUAAUUUUCGUUCACAAUGACUCCCCACAUGUGAACCAUAUGUGUUCAUUUCGUGUCAUUAAUUAUCAGAAUGUGAUUUAAAUUGCGAUGAUGGUUGCUCUUCUGGAUGAACCCCUACAGAUCGCCGUCGAAUUCUGAAUUUGAUUAGGCGGAAUUUCUAAAAGUGAUUUGGUUUUCAAAGAUAAUUUCGAGGUUAUGCGGUUUAUGAUCACACUGUUUUCUUCCCACCAACCAAAGUAAGAUCAUUUUGUUUCUUUUUCUCAUGUUAUUUUGUUUGUUUUUACAAAUGGGAUGCGUCUAAUAUUUCAAUUUCUGCAUCUAAUGGCUUUAUUUUUUGCAAAUUUGCUAUGUUAGAUUAAUAAAUAUGUUCAGUAUUUAUUUACAAUUGAACUACAGUGUAAUUAUGGGAACCAGUUUUGCAGAUGCUAUAACAUGAUGGAUGUUUGUUAGUAUGAAAAAAAAAUCUUUCUUUUCCGAAAAAUAUUUUUUUGCGAGUAUGUAAUAAUACAAACUUCUUUUCUUUUCUGUGGUGCUAAGGUUUCUGUUCUUAAAUAUGC
rnacentral:lncRNA from 1 species